rnacentral:rRNA from 1 species
UACAGAGGUCCCAAGCGUUGUUCGGAUUCACUGGGCGUAAAGGGUGCGCAGGUGGGUUUGCAAGUUCGAUGUGAAAGCCCCGGGCUUAACCCGGGAAUGGCAUUGGAUACUGCAGACCUGGAGGAUCGGAGGGGGGACUGGAAUUCUUGGUGUAGCAGUGAAAUGCGUAGAUAUCAAGAGGAACACCAGUGGCGAAGGCGAGUCCCUGGACGAUACCUGACACUGAGGCACGAAAGCUAGGGGAGCAAACAGG